rnacentral:lncRNA from 1 species
AGGAAGAAUUUCAUACAAUACAGGUGAUUGAGUUAGUGUUUACAAAAACAAAACACUCAGGCAACCUCAAUCUUGAUUUCUCCUAUGAUAUUCAGUCUUGCAUAGAUACAGUUUAUAGGCAAGCAAUAAACACCAAGAUUUUUGAAGUAUGCAUGAAAAUUGCUGCAAUGCUUUUCAAUGGACAGUGAUAACAGCAAGCCUGUGCCUUAAUCUGCCUGUGCUCUGAAGACUGGUUCAUUGAACUGUUCUGAGAGCUAUCAGUGCAGAUAUAGUCUUGCAACAGCUGUUAUAGCAGCAUCUGUGACCAAGAUAAAGGCUAUUGAAGUUUCUGUGCCACAAGUAAAUUUCAGUGAAAGUUAAUAGAGUGAGAGCAUUCCUCAAACUGCAACAGAAUCAGCUAUUUCUCCACCAACAAAGUCUUUGUUCUUUAGCCUAGAGUCUUUUCUUUAACACAUCUGGUAAACCAAGCUAGUCUUUCAGGAAAUGGAGAAACAAAAUUACCUAAUCCUGUAGUAGAAGUCAAGAGGACAUCCUCACCUCAUAAAGAGGAAUA